UAUGAGACUGUUGCCUUAAUCUGAGCCUG
rnacentral:piRNA from 1 species